AUACGAAGGGGGCUAGCGUUGUUCGGAAUUACGGGGCGUAAAGCGCGCGUAGGCGGUUUGGUCAGUUAGGGGUGAAAUCCCAGGGCUUAACCCUGGAACUGCCUCUAAUACUGCCAGUCUUGAGUUCGGGAGAGGUGAGUGGAAUUCCUAGUGUAGAGGUGAAAUUCGUAGAUAUUAGGAAGAACACCAGUGGCGAAGGCGGCUCACUGGCCCGAUACUGACGCUGAGGCGCGAAAGCGUGGGGAGCAAACAGGAUUAGAAACCCUAGUAGUCC
rnacentral:rRNA from 1 species